rnacentral:rRNA from 1 species
CACCGCGGUUAUACGAGGGACCCAAGUUGACAGACAAUCGGCGUAAAGAGUGGUUAAGUACUUAUUCUACUAAAGCCAAACACCUUCAAAGCUGUUAUACGCACCCGAAGGUUAGAAGCCCAAUCACGAAAGUGGCUUUAAACUAACUGAACCCACGAAAGCUAGGGCA